UCUAUUAGGGGUGAGGAUCAGUAACUUCAGCUCCAUCAAGUCCUUUUGAUAUGGUGUCUUUUCAUUUUUAUCCUUAUUAAUUCCAGUUUGAGAUUGUCUAAAAUGGGUAAAGACUAAAAGCCUCAAAUUGACCUGUAGAAACUAUGCAGUUCCGUUGGGUUUUAAGUUGUCAUUGAGCUUUUUUUGGUGGAUGCAACUUUGAAAAGCAACGAUGGUUCAACCUUAUGCCAAUCCGAUGUUGAAAUAUUCACACCCAUUAAAAAGAAACAGGAAAGUUAGAAAUGUUGGGGCACAUUUGCCACCAUAGGCAUAUAUAUAGCUAAAAUAACAGUUUAAAGGUAGUCACUGGUACUAUUGGGGAUUUGAAGGAUAUGUUCCAUUAUUUACGAACUAAGAUAUUUUCUACGUUUCUUGGAUUCCAUUGUGUUUGGCUUCUGAUAGUUGUUGCCUACAAGAUAAUUGGUAACUUUCGAAAUUUUAAUGCUUCAAGUGACACUUAUUUGGACCUCCAUUUUAAUUUCUUUUCUUAUUUUCCUUCUUUCUGUUAUUUCUUCUUUUUGAUGGGGAUAUGGUUGUUGGUUAGUUCUUCACCUCAGUUCAGCCUUUGAUAAGCCCAAGAACACAGUUUAUUGAUCUUUAAUCUUCUGAGGUGUUCUUAAAAUCCACUAGAUGGGUGAAUAUUCUCAUGUUCUUGUUUAUCGAUGAACAUGCACUCUUGGCUCAAUAUUUUUUCCUGUAUUUUUGUUAUAUAUUGUUGACUGUAACAUAUAUGUAAGCAUUUCUCAGGGUUUUCCCUUUUUUUUUUUUUUUUGGACGGCCUGGCCUUGAGAUUAUAAGGAGUCCCCUCGUACUGUAAUAAUUCAAAUGUGCUUCAUUACAGUUUGUAUUUAGUUUUUCUGUCCAUUUAUUUGGGAUCAUGUGCUAACUGAACUCAACUGAUCUUAUCUCUUCUACAUGGGGGUUGGCUGCAAAAAUUCACCAGUCAACCUCGAUUAGGUUAAUAUUCUAGUUACUCAUUAUCAUUUGUCUUUAUCACCACUUCGAUCCAAGACAUUUUGGGUGCCUACUAACUCCUCCAACUUGUACCAUGCCACCUCUUGCUGUUGCACUCAUUGGUCUUAUUUGCACAUGGCUGAACCAUCUCUCACUUUCCCUUUUUCAUCACAUAUAAUGAUUAAAUUUCCUUGACUACAUUUAUUUCUGAUUCUAUCACAUCCUUAGACUUGGCACUAAUCCAUCUUAGUAUUCUCAUGUUAACAAUGUGUAUUAUAUAUUUACACUAAAUUUUGUGGAAUUUGGAUAUAUUAUGUGUUCAUUUUCUUAUUGCUAAUUCUGUGUUGUGUGUGCAUGUGUGUGUAUUAUAUCUUGUCCCCUCUUCAAAUCAGGUUGGGAUGCCUGUGAACUUGAGGGACUUUGUCUUAACCAGCCAUAGUAGUGAAGAGACUUGAGUAUGGAGUGAGCAACUAGUGGAUGCCGAAAGCGGAGGAGCAUGGCCAGGAUUGUGCGUGUGACUCUUGUGCAUAUGUAGCGCCAUGAGGUGUUCGGCGUAUUUUUGAUUAUGUUGAUACAGACAUCAUCCAAUAGACAUGUGGCUGCAAAUCAGGAAAAAGGGGAGCAGUUCUGAUUAACAGAACCAAGCAAAUGAUGUAUGCACCUCGCAGCAGCAAGCACAGACACCAACAGACCAUGAGACUCAACUCAAGGCAUCUCGCGAUGUAAGGUGGCAAAUGUGUAUCACUGGAUCAUAUAGUAAAAGCAUUUGUUCCUAUUGAUUGGGUUCUUCUAUUCAGAAUCCGUUAAAUUUUGGUGGUCACAUGAAUGGAUUUUUUAAUGCAACUGCAAUAAUUUUGAUUUGACCAAUAACCAUUAUGUUCCCUAGUUUUUAUUACCUUCUAAGAGUUGAAGGGCUUAACAGAUGAACCAAAAUAAUUGAAAUAUUUGUCCAACUGGCACAUCCCAGUAACUUCAUUGGUUACUCGACUUAGUAUUUUCUAACUCA